CGAGGGUCUAAGAAAGCCUAGAAAUGUGUAUACAAAAAAGGGAAAAGAAUCAAAAAUAGCAUUUCAGUAGAAGAUAAGAAAUUCGAGCAUCUCCUUCUUUCUAACUAGUACUGCUCCAAACUUAAGCAGACAGGUGCUUGUGAUGAGUACUCUGUGGUGACACGUACCACCUGAGAAUGUGGUUGCUGACAGUUGCUAGGGAGAAGCUCAUGGAAACCAACAGAACCAAGGCAAGGAAUGUGGAGCUCUGAGAUGGUGAAGAGAAUGGAUGCAGGCAAAAAGCGAUGGAGGAGAGAUCUACACAUGCAGAUGAGACCAGAACUUCUGAAGUAAUAUUGAGCCACAAUGACUGCAACAGGAAUUCUUAUGUGAGUCCUGAAUUAAAUGGAACAGUAUGCUUCACCAAAGAAAACAUAUUUGCCAGAAGAUACUGUGGACAGCAAACCUCUAUUGUGGAAGAACACUAUUUCUUGAGAUAAAUGCAGUGCUUUGUGCGGAACGUUGGGGUCACUAAACUUACCUAGUUUAUUCCAUCAAAUUAAAAUAUAUCUGCAGAGUAUCCC
rnacentral:lncRNA from 1 species